UUUCAGCUUUUGUUUGCGUCACUCAAAUUUUGCCCGCCUUUGUUCAUCAAAGUAAUUAGUAAAACUCUGAAGGACCUUCUCAUUGCUGGCUCGCUUUUGUUCUCGCAUCGACUGAGGCCAUUUGUUGUAUAAAUUCAAGCACUCGCUCUUUUGCGGCUGGAGAUUUUGGGAGCUGACCAGCGCUCGAAGAAGCCAAAAACUGAAAGCUGUUUAUACAAAACAUGGUAGCAACACACACACACACACACACACACACUCACCACACCACGCAUUACACACAAAGUACCCGAGCACCCAGGCAGGGAUCCCACUGCUAGAGCUAAGCGUGUAAACCGAGCGCAGGUCCUUUAACCAGGCGAAGCAUGAGAAGUAAUGCAAAGUUGUCAACACUGAAGGGAAGGCAGAAGGAAUAUGUUGACGAUGACGGCGACGACGACGACGGCCACGGCGGCGGCGCCAUGGCGCAGAUUAUAAUUUCAAAAGAGACGCGCCAGGGACACGGGCACGCACACGGACAUACUGGCGGCAGCGAAGGACCUUCAUUAUGAAAGUUGCUGUUUUCAUUAUUUUCUUGCGCGAACGACUGCUGCGAGUGCCAGAGCGACGCCAGAUCCUGGCAGCGGCAAACCCAAACAACUAAUCUAAAUAAAGCAGCGAGCGGGGGUCUAUGGGUAGAAGCCUUUGGCACGAGGACGAGGAAGAGCAGAGACCGUAACUGCCGUUGCUUGUUUUAUUUUUGCACCCUGAAGGCAUUUGCCAAAAGGAUUCAUCUUACGACACUAGUGACCUCACCAACUGCGCACGAAACAUGCGGCGGGCACUGGAACUGGAGCUAGAGCUGCCGUUGCAGCAGGACAUUGGUUAAUCUAAUGUGUGGGUAGUCCAAAUACAGCAUUGAGUGUGGGGCACUCACUGCUUUGUUAUGUUUCUCUAGCGCAAAUAUAAGUUUGCCAUAAUGGCUGCCAGCAGCAUAAGCAGCAGCGGCAGAAGAGAGGAGCACUUUGCUUGUACCUUGGGGUACAAUCUGCCACAAAUACAACAAGCAACCACGCAAACCAGCCACCCA